GCGUCUAUGGUGUAAGGGUUAGCAUAGUUGCCUUCCAAGCAGUUGAUCCGAGUUCGAAUCUCGGUAGACGCA
rfam:Clunio marinus genome assembly, contig: CLTMA_superscaffold_2